UACGUAGGGUGCGAGCGUUGUCCGGAAUUAUUGGGCGUAAAGAGCUUGUAGGCGGUCUGUCGCGUCUGCUGUGAAAAUCCGGGGCUCAACCCCGGACUUGCAGUGGGUACGGGCAGACUAGAGUGUGGUAGGGGAGACUGGAAAUUCCUGGUGUAGCGGUGAAAUGCGGCAGAUAUCAGGGAGGAACACCGAUGGCGGAAGGCAGGUCUCU
rnacentral:rRNA from 1 species